rnacentral:rRNA from 1 species
UACGUAGGGUGCGCGCGUUGUCCGGAAUUAUUGGGCGUAAAGGGCUCGUAGGCGGUCUGUCGCGUCGGGCGUGAAAACUCAGGGCUUAACCCUGAGCCUGCUUCCGAUACGGGCAGACUAGAGGUAUGCAGGGGAGAACGGAAUUCCUGGUGUAGCGGUGAAAUGCGCAGAUAUCAGGAGGAACACCGGUGGCGAAGGCGGUUCUCUGGGCAUUCCCUGACGCUGAGGAGCGAAAGUGUGGGGAGCGAACAGG